UACGUAGGUGGCAAGCGUUGUCCGGAUUUACUGGGCGUAAAGAGCGCGCAGGCGGUCGACCAAGUCGCGUGUGAAAGCCCCCGGCUCAACUGGGGAGGGUCACGCGAUACUGAUCGACUCGAAGGCAGGAGAGGGUAGUGGAAUUCCCGGUGUAGUGGUGAAAUGCGUAGAUAUCGGGAGGAACACCAGCGGCGAAGGCGGAUCUCUGGACAGCUCCUGACGCUGAGGCGCGAAGGCUAGGGGAGCAAACGGG
rnacentral:rRNA from 1 species